GAUGAACGCUGGCGGCGUGCCUAAUACAUGCAAGUCGAGCGAACAGACGAGGAGCUUGCUCCUCUGACGUUAGCGGCGGACGGGUGAGUAACACGUGGAUAACCUACCUAUAAGACUGGGAUAACUUCGGGAAACCGGAGCUAAUACCGGAUAAUAUAUUGAACCGCAUGGUUCAAUAGUGAAAGACGGUUUUGCUGUCACUUAUAGAUGGAUCCGCGCCGCAUUAGCUAGUUGGUAAGGUAACGGCUUACCAAGGCAACGAUGCGUAGCCGACCUGAGAGGGUGAUCGGGCACACUGGAACUGAGACACGGUCCAGACUCCUACGGGAGGCAGCAGUAGGGAAUCUUCCGCAAUGGGCGAAAGCCUGACGGAGCAACGCCGCGUGAGUGAUGAAGGUCUUCGGAUCGUAAAACUCUGUUAUUAGGGAAGAACAAAUGUGUAAGUAACUAUGCACGUCUUGACGGUACCUAAUCAGAAAGCCACGGCUAACUACGUG
rnacentral:rRNA from 1 species